CGACCCCAGUCACGCGGGACUACCCCCCGGAGUUUAA
rnacentral:rRNA from 1 species